GCACAGAGUGGGUCAGCAAAAGAGCUUUGAGGGGAUCACAGAGAAACGGGAAUAAAGGACAGGUGCCGUGGGCACAAAAGCCCAGGUUCCCUACACAGAUUGAAUCCUAAGAAGUAUGCUUAAACAGAAUUCAACUGAAACAGACAUGGCCCAUUCAAACUGACCUGUCAAUCAUCACAGCUCCGAAUUAGAAGAUUAUUCAGGAACAGCUCGUGACAGUCCGCCAUCCCCAACAAUGGGGAUUGUUUUAAAAGCAGAUAUUACAGACCCGUGAAACUAUACAACUUCACUGGGCUCAUGUAAGCAAUUACGUGAAAUUGUUUGAGAAAUUGUUUCCUAUAAACAACGUAAAUAAUUUGCUUCA